UUCUCCACCAACACACAAACCCUCGACACACUUCCACCUCUUCUCCAAUCACACCCAUCGCACGUUCUUGAAGCCAAAUUCUACAGGUAGCACAUGAUCAAGAAAUUAUAUCAAGUUUCCUCUUUUAUCAACAGCCGAUUGAAGGAUUUAACCGAAGGACCUUCCUCCGCCGGCGUCUGCUGCGACAAAAACGAUGGUGACCAAACAGGGCAGAUCGGAGUUCAAAAGGAGGAACUUGCUACAACACUUCUUGAUCAACCAAAAAAACCAUUAAACCAAGCAAAUCAAAAACAAAUCUGGAGCCGGAUCAAGCUCACGAACGACAGCCAAAGAAAAUUCGAAGAAUACUUCUUCCAAGAUCUGUUCUCAUCUGUACAAUAGCAGAUAUGAGGCAAAAAAAUGAAAGGAAACGGCACCGAUGAAAGCGGUGGAAUGUUAUAUGGGUUUGUAAACUAACAGACGGACGUAAACUGCGAAAGGUGACAAAAUGAGUGAACAAAAUUUCCAAAAUAAGAGGAAGAAAAUACAAAAGGUAAAGAGAGACGAAAAGAUUAACAUAGAGAUUGCAAUAGUGCAGAUGAGUGAUUCAUCCAUGAGAGACUCUUCAAGUCUACACUUGAAGAUAUAAGAAGUGCAGAAAACGAUGCACAUUAAAAGGCACUGCAACAUCAAAGACACGGAUGCAACGCACUCUAUCACAGAAGAAGUAAUCGAAGGAUGCAAAUUAUCAAUCAAGAUUGCAGAGAAGUAGAAGGAAUGAGAUGAAGAAAAUUGAUCAAAGGGGUACAGAGGGAUGGAAUAAGAUAUGGAAAAGCAAUUGCAAGAAGGUUACCAAUGAGUUUGAUGAUUUCGAUUCAGAGAGGAAGUAAGUGAUAGUGAGAGUGUUAAGAUAGGGGGGUAUUUAUAGGACUCCCAUCUUUAGCAUGCUGGUUAGAAAGAUGCAUCUUCCCCAUAAAAAUAUAACAUAAGAGACCUUUUAGAUAAUUGCAUUGGAAACAAU